CAAUACCAGAUAAAUUUCCAGUUUUUUGUAUGUCUCAAAUUUCAGUCCCAUUUUUCAUUUUGUCACUAAUGUCUUCUCUCUGCGGACAAUUAUUUGCUAGCUUCCAAAACACUGUAGUGUUAUUUGCUAGAUUAUAAUACUUCUUUCCUCACAUUGUAGAUUUACAUUACAACGCCCUUGGCUGGAUAUUCUUACAAAUACGCGAGUUGUCCUGACUGAGUGGCACCCUUUCAGUGUCUCCUCUAGUCCCCUUGAUGGGGAACAUCAUGUCGCAGUUCUCAUAAAGGUUCUUGGAGAUUGGAUAAAAACUGAAGGGAAACAUCUUGAAUCUUUCUGUAGAACAAUCUGAGAAGGAUCCCCUUAUACAACAUAACAGGAAAAUAACAGCUUCUGUUGAAGGUCCUUAUGGCCAUGAAUUACCAUACCACUUGAUGUAUGAAAAUCUCAUUUUGGUAGCAGGUGGAAUUGGAAUUUCCCCCUUCCUAGCUAUCUUGAGUGGUCCUCCUACUCUUCAGUCCUGUGUUGCUAAAGAGUGCAGAAGGCAGAACUUGCAGAGAAGGGGCAAUCAGGCUAUUUUCCAUUUCAACAGCCACAGUUUUGACCUCUAGAUCACCCCAAUAAGCAAGGACGGAGCUAGGGUACCAUAAAUCGAAAAAUUGCACCUUAUAAAGAAGGUUUAAAUUGUAUUAUAUAUCAUCAUCAUAUAUCAUAUAUUAUACUAAAAAUGGGAAGCUCCCAACUUCAAAGUUGGAUUACCAUUUUGCCCUAUACUAAAUUAAAAUCUACUUAAAUAUAUAAUAAAAUAGUCAUAUUUUAUUAGGUAAUCAUUUGUCAAUUACAUUGAAAGUGAACCAGUGAAUUAAAAAUGAAACAGUAGCACUUCAAUGCUAUAGACCAUGAAAAUGCAGUGAAUGGAUAAGGGAAUUCGCUCUCUUCAUUUACUUUCAAAAACAUCUCACAUAUUGAAGUAGGCUUCUUCUCUUCGUUAAUCUCAAAAAGGUGAAAAGUUCAAGGAGUUAAUUACAUUCAAUGAUUUAGCAUAUACAGCAUUCAUCUUAAUAAUUGUUUCAGAAAAGUAAAAGAAUGGUCCAUAAAUAAUAGUAGUAAUCACUAUAAUAAAACAAUUGAGUAUCUCUCAUUAAUUAGCUGCUAUUAUAUGCUUCUUCAAAUUAAUAUAUUGAACAGUUACUAAUCAAGUUAAACUAAUCUAAAGCUGAAAAGACUUUUGCUACAAUAUCUGUAACAGUUUUUUCAAUGAACAUAAAUUACGAGGAGGUGAAGAGCCACAAUUCCAUAAUGUUAUAUACAAAUUUGGUUUCACCUUAUGCUUAAACAGAUUUUAUGGCUAUACGUAGUUAUUGACUUCUUGGACAUUGGAGAACAACCGAUAUCCCUCUAUUUCUUCAUUAUUGCCACACUUAUAUGCUAAUCGAGAUCAUUGGAUAUUUUCUGCCGAGAGGUAAGGACAUAGGGUCUCUUUUCUAUAGCAUACAAAGAGUGCACAAAGAGUUCAAGAAAAGGCAAGUUUUUGGGUGGUCUAAGCAAGGAUGACUCUGGGUUUGGGAUGAUGAAGAAGAAAAAUAUGUUUUCCUGUCGGAGAAGAAGGUUCAAAAAAAUAUGUUCCUUGCUCCUCAAUGGCUGUGACUUAUGAGGGACGAGAAAGAGCUUGGGAUCUAGGAGUUGUUAGCCAAUGUCAUCACUGUGCAUCACACGUAAUUAAUGGUGUUUUCUGCUCUGUGUUGCGAAGAAGAUCAUAGAUGUGGUUGCAAAGUUUUUAGUCUUCUAUUAGUAUUUCUUGAGUCUACUUUUGGUAUUAGCAUAUGUUCAUUAUUUUUGGGAUAUUUUAAAGGAAAUGCUGAAGUUAUUAGAUCUUGUUAGUUUUUCCAGGCUUAUCAAAUUAAUUAGAACACUUGUUUCAAUACCAUUGAAACAAUUAUAUAUGGUAUUAUCUACCU